CACGUAGGGCGCAAGCGUUGUCCGGAAUUAUUGGGCGUAAAGAGCUCGUAGGCGGUCUGUUGCGUCCGCUGUGAAAACUCGGGGCUUAACCCCGAGCCUGCAGUGGAUACGGGCAGACUAGAGGUAGGUAGGGGAGAAUGGAAUUCCCGGUGUAGCGGUGAAAUGCGCAGAUAUCGGGAGGAACACCGGUGGCGAAGGCGGGUCUCUGGGCCGAUAUCGACGCUGAGGAGCGAAAGCGUGGGGAGCGAACAGG
rnacentral:rRNA from 1 species